rnacentral:rRNA from 1 species
AUUGAACGCUGGCGGCAUGCCUUACACAUGCAAGUCGAACGGCAGCACGGGAGCAAUCCUGGUGGCGAGUGGCGAACGGGUGAGUAACAUAUCGGAACAUACCCUAGAGUGGGGGAUAACGUAGCGAAAGUUACGCUAAUACCGCAUACGAUCUAAGGAUGAAAGUGGGGGAUCUUCGGACCUCAUGCUCAUGGAGUGGCCGAUAUCUGAUUAGCUAGUUGGUGAGGUAAAGGCUCACCAAGGCGACGAUCAGUAGCUGGUUUGAGAGAACGACCAGCCACACUGGAACUGAGACACGGUCCAGACUCCUACGGGAGGCAGCAGUGGGGAAUUUUGGACAAUGGGGGCAACCCUGAUCCAGCAAUGCCGCGUGAGUGAAGAAGGCCU